rnacentral:lncRNA from 1 species
CUACACUUAUCAUCUGCCCUUUAUAAAUGCUAAGAAAUACAAUAUUAGUGUAGUUUUUACUUCGUUCUCAUCCCUACUCCGUGCUGUUUACUGGGUCAGAAGUGAUACCUGUAGACAACUGACAUCUUUGUGCCUCUAAACUGUAAAACUAUAAAGACUAUCCCAGCCUAGAAACACGCCAUAUUUAAGCACUUAUCCUCAUUUUAAUAAGAGUUGGCCUGAAUUUUCGAGGAAAUAAAUGUGUAUGGACUAGUCUCCCAUCUAGAAUUUGUGGAAUUCUAAGAUUUUUGUUAGAGUUAAAG